GCUGGAGCAAGAAGAGCUCAGGCUGUGACCCUCUAGAGGGAAGCACUUUCUGUUGCUUGAAAGAAGAGAAAGCGCUUCCUUUUAGAGGAUUACUCUUUGAGAAAAACAACAUUGAAGUU
rnacentral:precursor_RNA from 1 species